rnacentral:rRNA from 1 species
UUGGUUAAGUUAGAAAGGGCGCACGGUGGAUGCCUUGGCACUAGGAGCCGAAGAAGGACGGGACUAACACCGAUAUGCUUUGGGGAGCUGUACGUAAGCGUUGAUCCAGAGAUUUCCGAAUGGGGGAACCCACUAUCUUUAGUCGGAUAGUAUCCUUACGUGAAUACAUAGCGUGAGGAAGGCAGACCCAGGGAACUGAAACAUCUAAGUACCUGGAGGAAGAGAAAGAAAAAUCGAUUUCCUGAGUAGCGGCGAGCGAAACGGAAAGAGCCCAAACCAAGAAGCUUGCUUCUUGGGGUUGUAGGACACUCUAUACGGAGUUACAAAAGAAAGUUAUAAAUGAAGCGGUCUGGAAAGGCCCGCCAAAGACGGUAACAGCCCGGUAGUUGAAAUGGCUUUCCCUCCAGAGUGGAUCCUGAGUACGGCGGAACACGUGAAAUUCCGUCGGAAUCCGGGAGGACCAUCUCCCAAGGCUAAAUACUCCCUAGUGACCGAUAGUGAACCAGUACCGUGAGGGAAAGGUGAAAAGCACCCCGGAAGGGGAGUGAAACAGUUCCUGAAACCGUGUGCCUACAAGUAGUUAGAGCCCGUUAAUGGGUGAUAGCGUGCCUUUUGUAGAAUGAACCGGCGAGUUACGAUUUGUUGCAAGGUUAAGCGGAAAAAGCGGAGCCGUAGCGAAAGCGAGUCUGAAUAGGGCGCAUAAGUAACAGGUCGUAGACCCGAAACCAGGUGAUCUACCCAUGUCCAGGAUGAAGGUAAGGUAAUACUUACUGGAGGUCCGAACCCACGCACGUUGAAAAGUGCGGGGAUGAGGUGUGGGUAGCGGAGAAAUUCCAAUCGAACUUGGAGAUAGCUGGUUCUCUCCGAAAUAGCUUUAGGGCUAGCCUCGAGGUAAAGAGUCAUGGAGGUAGAGCACUGUUUGGACUAGGGGCCCUUCUCGGGUUACCGAAUUCAGAUAAACUCCGAAUGCCAUGUACUUAUACUCGGGAGUCAGACUGCGAGUGAUAAGAUCCGUAGUCGAAAGGGAAACAGCCCAGACCACCAGUUAAGGUCCCCAAAUAUAUGUUAAGUGGAAAAGGAUGUGGGGUUGCUUAGACAACCAGGAUGUUGGCUUAGAAGCAGCCACCAUUGAAAGAGUGCGUAAUAGCUCACUGGUCGAGUGACCCCGCGCCGAAAAUGUACCGGGGCUAAACAUAUUA